GUGAACUUAAAACAGAGACCGAGACCGCCUCUGACCAUCGAGAGACACCUCUGCUGAAGCGCUCAGCGUUCUGCACCGCCUCUGUCAGCGCAGACCCCAGGCACAGCACCCGGCCCCUCAGGGUGAGGGAGGCCGCAGGUACUGGGGUAACAGCACUCAGUGCCAGCAAAAAGCUCUCAGGAGUGGCACACCAGUUUCAAACACGAGCACGUGGGAAUAACUCCAGUUAACACCUGGACACCAAAACCCUCAAUCCAUUCCAGAAAUUCCAGUUCUGGGGUGAGCAGCAACACUAAAGAGUUUAUGCCACGUGAUAGUUUUUCCUUUCACAUCCUGCAAAAAAGACAUGCAAGAUCUAUAAUGCUUUGUACCAUCUUUAAGUAGCAAGAAACAAGAUGCCAAUUCAUCCUUUUAGGAAGGAAGAUGAAGACACUGAUAAUUCCAUCUCUUAGAAACAGAGCUUCCAAAAUGUAUUUUGUGAUCCAGAAGAUAUGAACUUAAUUUUAAGAUGAACGAGUGCUAAACAUGCCUGCAUGUCGACACAGGCCAACUUCCACAUAUAUGUGGAAUCCCAGAACUAUCACAGAAGUUCUCGGUGAUCUCCACUUCCAUUUCUUUCCAGGAAGAAAAACCAAAACAAACCAAAUAUCCUUUUACUUUACCCAAGC